GAAGAUGUAAAUAACGGCCUGCGUUUGGUUCGGGACCAAGAGGCCGGAGGUUCAAGUCCUCUCACUCCG
rnacentral:tRNA from 1 species